AGCGGUGGUUUCACUUCGAUUGACCUCCUGAAACUGAAAUGGUUCACAGAUCAAGAUCUGGUCAGAUCUGACUUUGUCGAAUUAAAUCAGGAGCUUGGGGACGAAUUUUGGAAUGAAACCAAUUGGGGGAUACUUAGUUGUGCCAUGGUGAUACCGAGAGAGGCAAUUGCUAAGUUAUGAUACUCUCAUACCUUUACUAGAUGCGAACGAUUCCGGAGAAGAAGAAGUGGAUCGGACAAGGAUUUUAUUUAUAUUGUUGGUAUUCUUAUAUUGAUGAAGUUGAAGAAGUCCAGGGACAAAUAAGCCAA